rnacentral:rRNA from 1 species
CCUACGGGUGGCAGCAGUGGGGAAUAUUGCACAAUGGGGGAAACCCUGAUGCAGCGACGCCGCGUGAGUGAAGCAGUAAUUCGUUAUGUAAAGCUCUAUCAGCAGGGAAGAAAAUGACGGUACCUGAGUCAGAAGCCCCGGCUAACUACGUGCCAGCAGCCGCGGUAAAACGUAGGGGGCAAGCGUUAUCCGGACUUACUGGGUGUAAAGGGAGCGUAGACGGGAUGGCAAGUCUAGAGUGAAAGGCGGGGGCUCAACCCCCGGACUGCUCUGGAAACUGUACGGCUGGAGUGCCGGAGAGGUAAGUGGAAUGCCUAGUGUAGCGGUGAAAUGCGUAGAUAUUAGGAGGAACACCAGUGGCGAAGGCAGCUUACUGGACUGUAACUGACGUUGAGGCUCGAAAGCGUGGGGAGCAAACAGGAUUAGAUACCCUAGUAGUC